CACCGCCCGUCACACCAUGGAAGUCUGCUGCACCAGAAGCCGGUCGCCUAACCGCAAGGAGGGCGCCGACCACGGUGUGGCCGAUGACUGGGGUGAAGUCGUAACAAGGUACCC
rnacentral:rRNA from 1 species